AACGUAGGUACCGAGCGUUAUCCGGAUUUACUGGGCGUAAAGAGCUUGUAGGCGGUUUGUCGCGUCUGCUGUGAAAUUCCAGGGCUUAACCCUGGGCUUGCAGUGGGUACGGGCAGACUAGAGUGUGGUAGGGGAGACUGGAAUUCCUGGUGUAGCGGUGAAAUGCGCAGGAUAUCAGGAGGAACACCGAUGGCGAAGGCAGGUCUCUGGGCCACUACUGACGUGAGAAGCGAAAGCAUGGGGAGCGAACAGG
rnacentral:rRNA from 1 species